rnacentral:rRNA from 1 species
AUACAGAGGGUGCAAGCGUUAAUCGGAUUUACUGGGCGUAAAGCGCGCGUAGGUGGCUAUUUAAGUCAAAUGUGAAAUCCCCGAGCUUAACUUGGGAAUUGCAUUCGAUACUGGUUAGCUAGAGUAUGGGAGAGGAUGGUAGAAUUCCAGGUGUAGCGGUGAAAUGCGUAGAGAUCUGGAGGAAUACCGAUGGCGAAGGCAGCCAUCUGGCCUAAUACUGACACUGAGGUGCGAGAGCAUGGGGAGCAAACAGGAUUAGAUACCCUGGUAGUCCAUGCCGUAAACGAUGUCUACUAGCCGUUGGGGCCCUUGAGGCUUUAGUGGCGCAGCUAACGCGAUAAGUAGACCGCCUGGGGAGUACGGUCGCAAGACUAAAACUCAAAUGAAUUGACGGGG